AUUGCUUCUUGGCCUUUUGGCUAAGAUUGAGUGUAGUAUUUGUUUUUAUUAGUUUAAUAUCUGAUACGUCCUCUAUCCGAAGACAAUAUGGUAAAUGGAUUUUUGGAAAUAGGAGAUGGAAUGGGAUCUUGCUCCGUCCCCUUCAUGCAUUGACCUGGUAUUGCAGUACCUCCAGGGAUGGUGCACCCCUU
ensembl:snRNA U2 U2 spliceosomal RNA